rnacentral:rRNA from 1 species
UAGGGAAUCUUCCGCAAUGGGCGAAAGCCUGACGGAGCAACGCCGCGUGAGUGAAGAAGGAUUUCGGUUCGUAAAGCUCUGUUGUUAGGGAAGAAUGAUUGUGUAGUAACUAUACACAGUAGAGACGGUACCUAACCAGAAAGCCACGGCUAACUACGUGCCAGCAGCCGCGGUAAUACGUAGGUGGCAAGCGUUGUCCGGAUUUAUUGGGCGUAAAGCGAGCGCAGGCGGUUAGAUAAGUCUGAAGUUAAAGGCUGUGGCUUAACCAUAGUACGCUUUGGAAACUGUUUAACUUGAGUGCAAGAGGGGAGAGUGGAAUUCCAUGUGUAGCGGUGAAAUGCGUAGAUAUAUGGAGGAACACCGGUGGCGAAAGCGGCUCUCUGGCUUGUAACUGACGCUGAGGCUCGAAAGCGUGGGGAGCAAACAGGAUUAGAUAUCCUGGUAGUCCACGCCGUAAACGAUGAGUGCUAGGUGUUAGACCCUUUCCGGGGUUUAGUGCCGCAGCUAACGCAUUAAGCACUCCGCCUGGGGAGUACGACCGCAAGGUUG